UACGGAGGGUGCAAGCGUUAUCCGGAUUCACUGGGUUUAAAGGGUGCGUAGGCGGGCAGGUAAGUCAGUGGUGAAAUCCUUGAGCUUAACUCGAGAACUGCCAUUGAUACUAUCUGUCUUGAAUAUUGUGGAGGUAAGCGGAAUAUGUCAUGUAGCGGUGAAAUGCUUAGAUAUGACAUAGAACACCGAUUGCGAAGGCAGCUUACUACGCAUAUAUUGACGCUGAGGCACGAAAGCGUGGGGAGCAAACAGG
rnacentral:rRNA from 1 species